rnacentral:rRNA from 1 species
GCAAGUCGAGCGAGUGGAGUUCUUCGGAACAAAGCUAGCGGCGGACGGGUGAGUAACACGUGGGCAACCUGCCUCAUAGAGGGGAAUAGCCUCCCGAAAGGGAGAUUAAUACCGCAUAAGAUUGUAGCUUCGCAUGAAGUAGCAAUUAAAGGAGCAAUCCGCUAUGAGAUGGGCCGGCGGCGCAUGAGCUAGUGGGUGAGGUAACGGCUCACCAAGGCGACGAUGCGUAGCCGACCUGAGAGGGUGAGC